rnacentral:rRNA from 1 species
AUUGAACGCUGGCGGAAUGCUUUACACAUGCAAGUCGAACGGCAGCACGGACUUCGGUCUGGUGGCGAGUGGCGAACGGGUGAGUAAUGUAUCGGAACGUGUCCAGUCGUGGGGGAUAACGUAGUGAAAAUUACGCUAAUACCGCAUACGAUCUAUGGAUGAAAGCGGGGGAUCGCAAGACCUCGAGCGAUUGGAGCGGCCGAUAUCAGAUUAGGUAGUUGGUGGGGUAAAGGCCCACCAAGCCAACGAUCUGUAGCUGGUCUGAGAGGAAGACACGCCAGACUGGAACUGGGCCACGGCCCAAACUCCUACGGGAGGCAGCAGUGGCGAAUUUUGGACGAUGGGCGAUAGACUGUUCCAGCCAUUCCGCGUGCAGGAUGAAGGCCCUCGGGUUGUAAACUGCUUUUGUACAGAACGAAAAGGUUUCUACUAAUACUAGGAGCUCAUGACGGUACUGUAAGAAUAAGCACCGGCUAACUACGCGCCAGCCGCCGCGGUAA